rnacentral:tRNA from 1 species
GGAGGGGGGUGGCUCAGUGGCAGAGCAUCUGCUUGGUAUGCGGAAGGUCCCAGGUUCAAUCACAGGCACCUCCA